rnacentral:rRNA from 1 species
CAAGAGCGUAUAUUAAAGUUGUUGCAGUUAAAAAGCUCGUAGUUGGAUUUCUGGUACAACGCGCCUGGCCCGCUUUAUGUGAGUGCCGGUGCGCGUUUGCCAUCCUUCUAGAAAACGUUUCUACCUGGGCAACCGGGCCGGACUCGCGAUCUAGAUCUUUUACUUUGAAAAAUUAGAGUGUUUAAAGCAGGCUUUUGCUGUGAAUACAUUAGCAUGGAAUAAUAAGAUAGGACCGCGUGGUCGUCUUGUUGGUUUGCACCGCGAGGUAAUGAUUAAUAGGUACAGUUGGGGGUAUUCGUAUUUAAUUGUCAGAGGUGAAAUUCUUGGAUUUAUGAAAGACGAACUUCUGCGAAAGCAUUUACCAAGGAUGUUUUCAUUAAUCAAGAACGAAAGUUAGGGGAUCGAAGACGAUUAGAUACCAU